rnacentral:rRNA from 1 species
GACGAACGCUGGCGGCGUGCUUAACACAUGCAAGUCGAGCGGAAAGGCCCUUCGGGGUACUCGAGCGGCGAACGGGUGAGUAACACGUGAGUAACCUGCCCCAGACUUUGGGAUAACCCUCGGAAACGGGGGCUAAUACCGGAUACGACACAGCUUCGCAUGGGGUCUGUGUGGAAAGUUUUUCGGUUUUGGAUGGGCUCGCGGCCUAUCAGCUUGUUGGUGGGGUGAUGGCCUACCAAGGCGACGACGGGUAGCCGGCCUGAGAGGGCGACCGGCCACACUGGGACUGAGACACGGCCCAGACUCCUACGGGAGGCAGCAGUGGGGAAUAUUGCACAAUGGGCGGAAGCCUGAUGCAGCGACGCCGCGUGAGGGAUGACGGCCUUCGGGUUGUAAACCUCUUUCAGCAGGGACGAAGCGUAAGUGACGGUACCUGCAGAAGAAGCGCCGGCCAACUACGUG